GUGAGGUAACGGCUCACCAAGGCGAUGACGGGUAGCAGGCCUGAGAGGGUGGUCUGUCACACUGGGACUGAGACACUGCCCAGACUCCUACGGGAGGCUGCAGUCGAGAAUCUUCCGCAAUGGACGAAAGUCUGACGGAGCGACGCCGCGUGGAGGACGAAGGCAUUAGUGUUGUAAACUCCUGUCACGGAUUAUGAAUGCGUAUGCGUGAACAGCGUAUGCGUUGACGUAAGUCCGAGAGGAAGCACCGGCUGACUCUGUGCCAGCAGCCGCGGUAAUACAGAGGGUGCAAACGUUGUUCGGAAUUACUGGGCAUAAAGCGCACGUAGGCGGCACGCUAAGUGUGGAGUGAAAUCCCACGGCUUACCCGUGGAACUGCUUCGCAUACUGGCGAGCUCGAGGACGGUAGGGGAGAGCGGAACUCUUGGUGGAGCGGUGAAAUGCGUAGAUAUCAAGAGGAACACCGAUGGCGAAGGCAGCUCUCUGGUCCGUUUCUGACGCUGAGGUGCGAAAGCUAGGGUAGCGAACGGGAUUAGAUACCCCGGUAGUCCUAGCCGUAAACGAUGGGCACUAGCUAGAGGUCCUUCCUGUGGGGUCUCUGGCGAAGCAAAUGUACUAAGUG
rnacentral:rRNA from 1 species